AUAAUGCAAGUCGAGCGGACAGAUGGGAGCUUGCUCCCUGAUGUUAGCGGCGGACGGGUGAGUAACACGUGGGUAACCUGCCUGUAAGACUGGGAUAACUCCGGGAAACCGGGGCUAAUACCGGAUGGUUGUCUGAACCGCAUGGUUCAGACAUAAAAGGUGGCUUCGGCUACCACUUACAGAUGGACCCGCGGCGCAUUAGCUAGUUGGUGAGGUAACGGCUCACCAAGGCGACGAUGCGUAGCCGACCUGAGAGGGUGAUCGGCCACACUGGGACUGAGACACGGCCCAGACUCCUACGGGAGGCAGCAGUAGGGAAUCUUCCGCAAUGGACGAAAGUCUGACGGAGCAACGCCGCGUGAGUGAUGAAGGUUUUCGGAUCGUAAAGCUCUGUUGUUAGGGAAGAACAAGUGCCGUUCAAAUAGGGCGGCACCUUGACGGUACCUAACCAGAAAGCCACGGCUAACUACGUGCCAGCAGCCGCGGUAAUACGUAGGUGGCAAGCGUUGUCCGGAAUUAUUGGGCGUAAAGGGCUCGCAGGCGGUUUCUUAAGUCUGAUGUGAAAGCCCCCGGCUCAACCGGGGAGGGUCAUUGGAAACUGGGGAACUUGAGUGCAGAAGAGGAGAGUGGAAUUCCACGUGUAGCGGUGAAAUGCGUAGAGAUGUGGAGGAACACCAGUGGCGAAGGCGACUCUCUGGUCUGUAACUGACGCUGAGGAGCGAAAGCGUGGGGAGCGAACAGGAUUAGAUACCCUGGUAGUCCACGCCGUAAACGAUGAGUGCUAAGUGUUAGGGGGUUUCCGCCCCUUAGUGCUGCAGCUAACGCAUUAAGCACUCCGCCUGGGGAGUACGGUCGCAAGACUGAAACUCAAAGGAAUUGACGGGGGCCCGCACAA
rnacentral:rRNA from 1 species